UGAAUACGAGAUGCUACGGCAUCGAAGCAGUCUAUGUCAUACUUCCAAGAAAAGCUUGCACUGUCAUAAACAAAUAAUGCCUGUACCAUAACCGACACAGGUGGGUAGGUAGAGUAUACUAAGGGGCGCGAGAUAACUCUCUCUAAGGAACUCGGCAAAAUGACUCCGUAACUUCGGGAGAAGGAGUGCCUUAUUUUAUAAGGUUGCAAUAACAAGAUCCAAGCAACUGUUUACCAAAAACACAGGUCUCCGCUAAGUCGUAAGACGAUGUAUGGGGGCUGACGCCUGCCCAGUGCCAGAAGGUUAAAGAAGUUGGUUAGCAUUAGCGAAGCUGAUAACUGAAGCCCUGGUGAACGGCGGCCGUAACAAUAACGGUCCUAAGGUAGCGAAAUUCCUUGUCGGGUAAGUUCCGACCCGCACGAAAGGCGUAAUGAUUUGGAUACUGUCUCGGAGAGGGGCUCGGUGAAAUAGACUUGUCUGUGAAGAUGCGGACUACCUGCACCAGGACAGAAAGACCCUAUGAAGCUUUACUGUAACUUGAGAUUGAAAUUGGACUUUAUUUGCGCAGUAUAGGUGGGAGACGUUGAAAAUAUUCUUGCGGGAAUAUUGGAGUCAUCAGUGAGAUACCACUCUUAUAAUGUUAGAUUUCUAACUUUGUAUCAUUAUCUGGUCAAAGAACAGUCUCGGGCGGGCAGUUUGACUGGGGCGGUCGCCUCCCAAACGGUAACGGAGGCGCACAAAGGUUUCCUCUGAACGUGUAGAAAUCGUAUCUAGAGUGUAAAGGCAUAAGGAAGCUUGACUGUGAGACCUACAAGUCGAGCAGGGACGAAAGUCGGUCUUAGUGAUCUGACGGUGCUGAGUGGAAAGGCCGUCACUCAACGGAUAAAAGUUACUCUAAGGAUAACAGGCUGAUCUCCCCCAAGAGUUCACAUCGACGGGGAGGUUUGGCACCUCGAUGUCGGCUCAUCGCAUCCUGGGGCGGUAGUACGUCCCAAGGGUUGGGCUGUUCGCCCAUGAAAGCGGUACGCGAGCUGGGUUCAGAACGUCGUGAGACAGUUCGGUCCAUAUCCGGUGUAGGCGUUAGAAUAUUGAGAGGAGCCUUCUUUAGUACGAGAGGACCGAGAAGGACAUACCUCUGGUGUACCAGUUAUCGUGCCAACGGUAAACGCUGGGUAGCUAUGUAUGGAGAGGAUAACCGCUGAAAGCAUCUAAGUGGGAAGCCCACCUCAAGAUAAGUAUUCUC
rnacentral:rRNA from 1 species